rnacentral:rRNA from 1 species
GACGAACGCUGGCGGCGUGCUUAACACAUGCAAGUCGAACGAUGAACCCGGAGCUUGCUCCGGCGGAUUAGUGGCGAACGGGUGAGUAACACGUGAGUAACCUGCCCUUGACUCUGGGAUAACUGCUAGAAAUGGUAGCUAAUACCGGAUACGACCCUCGGUGGCAUCACCAGGGGGUGGAAAGAACUUCGGUCAAGGAUGGACUCGCGGCCUAUCAGCUAGUUGGUGAGGUAACGGCUCACCAAGGCGACGACGGGUAGCCGGCCUGAGAGGGUGACCGGCCACACUGGGACUGAGACACGGCCCAGACUCCUACGGGAGGCAGCAGUGGGGAAUAUUGCACAAUGGACGAAAGUCUGAUGCAGCAACGCUGCGUGAAGGAUGAAGGUUUUCGGAUCGUAAACUUCUUUUAUCAGGGAAUAAUUAUGAAGGUACCUGAUGAAUAAGCACCGGCUAACUACGUGCCAGCAGCCGCCGUAA